rnacentral:rRNA from 1 species
AGUUUGAUCCUGGCCUGGGAUUUAACUGCUGGCGGGUUUACACAUGGCAAGUCGAACGGCAGCACGGACUUCGGUCUGUGUGGCGAGUGGCGAACGGGUGAGUAAUGUAUCGGAACGUGCCUAGUAGUGAUAAUCACGCGAACGUCAGCGACACUGACACGCCCUUCGGGGGAGCAAUCUUCGCCUUCGCACUAUUAGAGCGGCCGAUAUCGGAUUAGCCAGUUGUGUGUACGGCUCACCAAGGAGACUGAUCCGUAGCUGGUUUGAGAGGACGACCAGCCACACUGGACUGGAGACACGGCCCAGACUCCUACGGGAGGCAGCAGUGGGGAAUUUUGACAAUGGGGGAAACCCUGAUCCAGCCAUCCCGGGCGUGUGCGAUGAAGGCCUCGGUUGUAAAAGCACUUUGGCAGGAAAGAAACGGCACGGAUAAGGCACUCCCGUGCAACUGACGGUACCUGCAGAAUAAGCACCGGCUAACUACGUGCCAGCAGCCGCGGUAAUACGUAGGUGCAAGCGUUAAUCGGAAUUACUGGGCGUAAAGCGUAAGUGCAGGCGGUUCGGAAAGAAAGUGAUGUGAAAUCCCAGAGCUUAACUUUGAACUGCAUUUUUAAUCAACGAGCUAGGAGUGUGUCAGAGGGAGGUAAUCGCGUGAAGCAGUGAAAUGCGUAGAUAUGCGGAGGAAUAAUCGAUGGCGACAGCUUCCUGGGAUAACACUGAUGCUCAUGCACAAAGUGGGGAGCAAACAGGAUUAGAUACCCCAGAACUAUCGCCCUAAACGAUGUCAACUACAGUUGGGGCCUUCGGCCUGGUAGCGCAGCUAAUGGCGAAGUUGACCGCCUGGGGAGUACGGUCGCAAGAUUAAAACUGAAGGUAAUUGACGGGGACCCGCACAAGCGUGUGGAUGAUGUGAUUAAAUUGAUGCAACGCGAAAACCUUAUUCUACCCUUGAUGUCUGAAUCCCGAAGAGAUUUGGGAGUGCUCGCAAGAGAACUCGGAACACAGGUUGCAUGGCUGCUGUCAGCUCGUGUCGUGAGAUGUUGGGUUAAGUCCCGCAACGAGCGCAACCUCGCCGGCUAGUUGCUACCAGGCGCGCACUCACGAGACUGCCGGUGACAAACCGGGAGAAGGUGGGGAUGACGUCAAGUCCUCAUGGCCCUUAUGGGUAGGGCUUCACACGUCAUACAAUGGUCGGGACAGAGGAGGUCGCCAACCCGCGAGGGGGAGCCAAUCCCAGAAAACCCGAUCGGGAAGGCCCUGAUCGCAGUCUGCAACCGACUGCGCGUUUGAAUCGCUAGUAAUCGCGGAUCAGCAUGGUCAGUAGGAAUAUCAUUGGCUCCCGGGUCUUGUACACACCGCCCGUCACACCAUGGGAGUGGGCUUUACCAGAGUAGUUAGCCUAACCGUAAGGAGGGCGAUUACCACGGUGAGAGAUUCAUGACUGGGGCAGUGAAGUCGUAACAAGGUAG